rnacentral:rRNA from 1 species
AGUGAACGCUGGCGGUAGGCCUAACACAUGCAAGUCGAACGGCAGCACAGUAAGAGCUUGCUCUUACGGGUGGCGAGUGGCGGACGGGUGAGGAAUACAUCGGAAUCUACUUUUUCGUGGGGGAUAACGUAGGGAAACUUACGCUAAUACCGCAUACGACCUACGGGUGAAAGCAGGGGAUCUUCGGACCUUGCGCGAUUGAAUGAGCCGAUGUCGGAUUAGCUAGUUGGCGGGGUAAAGGCCCACCAAGGCGCCGAUCCGUAGCUGGUCUGAGAGGAUGAUCAGCCACACUGGAACGGAGACACGGUCCAGACUCCUACGGGAGGCAGCAGUGGGGAAUAUUGGACAAUGGGCGCAAGCCUGAUCCAGCCAUACCGCGUGGGUGAAGAAGGCCUUCGGGUUGUAAAGCCCUUUUGUUGGGAAAGAAAAGCAGCAGGUUAAUACCCCGCUGUUCUGACGGUACCCAAGGAAUAAGCACCGGCUAACUUCGUG